UUUGCUCACCCAAAGAACAACUGUAGCAUCACAAGUCAACAUUGCUGCCCUGUAAUCCUCCUCUAGCUAACACUGCCACAAAAAACAAGUGAUGAGAGCCAGGCUGGCAAAGUUGUCAUGGUGAAAAGGGGACAAAAACUAAGGCUGCCCUUCCCUGGCAGAAUCCCAGCUGGAAUGCAGCACUACAAACACCAUCUGCUUUCUCCUGCAAACAAGCCCUUACAGGGUGCAGUGGCCCUGCCUGUUGGAGGAGGAGGGAAAUUCUGCCCCGUUUAUCACAACCACUGUGGAUUUGGACUCGGCCUUUGCUUGUCUGGCCUCAGGAAAAGGGAAAGUUCCCUGACCUGCAUGGAGGGAGUGCCCACAGGCUAG
rnacentral:lncRNA from 1 species